rnacentral:rRNA from 1 species
UACAGAGGGCUCAAGCGUUGUUCGGAUUCAUUGGGCGUAAAGGGUGCGUAGGUGGCUUGGUAAGUCCGACGUGAAAUCCCAAGGCUUAACCUUGGAACUGCGUCGGAUACUGGAUGGCUUGAAUUCGGGAGAGGGAUGCAGAAUUCCAGGUGUAGCGGUGAAAUGCGUAGAUAUCUGGAGGAAUACCGGUGGCGAAGGCGGCAUCCUGGACCGACAUUGACGCUGAUGAGCGAAAGCUAGGGGAGCAAACGGG